GUUGGUAUGUGGUGCUGAGGAUCCAACCCAGGCCGCACGCAUGCCAGGCGAGCGCGCUACCGCUUGAGCCACAUUCCCCAGCCCCUCCCCACAGUAAAUCUUAGAAUAUUUUCAACACUCCAAUGUGAAAUCCCAUAACUAUUAGCAUUUCUUCCCCCUUUCUGGUCCCUAUCCUCCCCCAUCUUAUUUUCUGACCCAGCCCUAAUCUGUUUUUUGACUCUAUAUUUUCUAUUUAGGACAUACCACUUAAUGGAAUCUCAUAAUAUGUGGUCUUUUAUGUCUGGCCUUUUGUGUUUGGCAUAUUGUUUUCAAGGUUCAUCCAUACGGUAGUACAUAUCAGGAGUUCAUUCCUUUUUAUCACUGAAUAGUAUUCCAUUGUGAGGGUAUACCACAUUUUAUUUGUCCAUUCAUCAGUUGAUGGAUACCUGAUUGUUUCUGUUUUUGGGUAUUAUGAACAAUGCUGGCAUGAACAUUCUUGUCCAAGUGUUUUUUUUUUCUCUUUAGUUAUACAUGAUAGUAGAAUCUAUUUUGACAUAGACACAUGGAAUAUAACUUCCCAUUCUCGUGGUUAUCUCAUACAAGUAAUUGUCUGGACUUACGUUUUCAUUUCUCAUGAGUGUACACUUAGGAGUGAAAUUGUUGGAUUUCAUUGUAGCUUUGUGCAUAACUUUGUGAGGAACUGUCAGAAGGUUUAUUAAGUCAACUGUAGCAUUUUAUAUUCUCACAGCAGUGUGUGAAGAGGAUUCUAGUUUUUCUACAUUCUCUCCAGCACUCGUUUUGUCUUUUUGACCAUUGACUUAUUGGUGGCCUUGAACUUGCAAUCCUCCUUCCUUGGCCUUCAAAUAGCCAGGAUUUUAGGUGUGUACCACCACAUGCAGCUUUGUUUUGUACUAUUUUGAAUGAAACUGCUGUGAAUAUUUAUAUAUAGGUCUUUGUGUGAAAAAUAUGUUUUUAUUUCUCUGGGUAAAUACCUAAUUUCAUUCAUUUUUAUAGGUGAGAAUACUGUUACUUAGAAGUUAGAUGAAAAUUUCAAGAUUAUGUAGCAAGUGAUUUGGUUGAUUCCAAUGAUGAUUUAUACUCUUUCCACUAUAAAUUUUUCCCCAACUUUUUUCUUUUUUUCUGGUACUGGGGAUUGAACUCAGAGGCACUCAAUCACUGAAUAUUUCCCCAACUUUUAGAGGGAAAGAAUACACAUAGAGUUGAUUGGGAGUCCAGGUGAAGAUCUCUGUCAGCUGGGAUGUAAGGGUAGGCUUCAUGGCUUCCGGUGGAGUACUUGCCUUGCACUUGCAGGCUUGGCUUCAAUUCCUUGUGCUACUUAAAAAAAAAAAAAAAAAAAA